rnacentral:rRNA from 1 species
UACAGAGGUCCCAAGCGUUGUUCGGAUUCACUGGGCGUAAAGGGUGCGUAGGCGGUCGGGUAAGUCUGAUGUGAAAUCUCACAGCUUAACUGUGAAACUGCAUUGGAUACUAUUCGGCUUGAGAGUUGGAGGGGGGACUGGAAUUCUUGGUGUAGCAGUGAAAUGCGUAGAUAUCAAGAGGAACACCUGUGGCGAAAGCGGCUCACUGGACCACAACUGACGCUGAGGCGCGAAAGCUAGGGGAGCAAACAGG